UACGGAGGGGGUUAGCGUUGUUCGGAAUGACUGGGCGUAAAGCGCGCGUAGGCGGAUCAGGAAGUUGGGGGUGAAAGCCCCGGGCUCAACCUGGGAACCGCGCUUGAGACUGGAGAACUAGAGUUCGGGAGAGGAUGGUGGAAUUCCCAGUGUAGAGGCGAAAUUCGUAGAUAUUGGGAAGAACACCGAUGGCGAAGGCAGCCAUCUGGACCGACACUGACGCUGAGGCGCGAAAGCGUGGGGAGCAAACAGG
rnacentral:rRNA from 1 species